GACGAACGCUGGCGGCGUGCUUAAUACAUGCAAGUCGAGCGAAGAUUUUCUUGUGCGUGCACUCGAAAGACUUAGCGGCGAAUGGGUGGGUAACACGUAAAGAACCUGCCUCAUAUACGGGGACAACUAUUGGAAACGAUACCUAAUACCGGAUAACAGUAUUUCUCGCUUGAGAGAUGUUUAAAAGUUGGGUAUGCUAACACUAUGCGAUGGCUUUGCUGUUCAUUUGCUAGUUGGGGGGGUAAAGGCCCAGCAAGGCGGCGAGGUAUAGCCGACCUCAGGGGGUGAUCGGCAGCCGGGCGACUGAGACAAGGCCCAGAAUCGUGAGGGAGGCAGCGGUAGGGAACCUUCCGCAAUGAGCGGAAGCGUAACGGGGGAAAGCCGCGUAAGUGAAGAGGGAUUUCGGUUCGUGAAGCUCUGUUGUUAGGGAGGAAUGGAUAUGUAGUAACUCUGACGGUAAGAGACGGUACCUGUAGAGAAAGCCACGGCUAACUACGUG
rnacentral:rRNA from 1 species